AUAUCUUCAAUAUCAUCAUCAUUCAUCUCAGUGAUAUAUUGUUUCUUUGGACCAAAUACAAUAUUUAUUUGGAUCCCAUAUAUACCUUUUGGGGCAAUAACCAAUGCCCACCUUUGAACCAAGAGUUAUUUGUCUUGUAUGCAUAAACAUUUCCUUUUGUUUUCUUUUUGUCCAAUAUGCCUGCUUUACUCUUUGGUUCAUAUUUAAUUACCAUGUGGAUUCAAACAAUAUCAUUAUCUUUUGGUGCAAACUAUACCUUUC
rnacentral:lncRNA from 1 species